AUUGAACGCUGGCGGAAUGCUUUACACAUGCAAGUCGAACGGCAGCACGGACUUCGGUCUGGUGGCGAGUGGCGAACGGGUGAGUAAUACAUCGGAACGUGCCCAAUCGUGGGGGAUAACGUAGCGAAAGCUACGCUAAUACCGCAUACGAUCUAAGGAUGAAAGCGGGGGAUCGCAAGACCUCGCGCGAUUGGAGCGGCCGAUGGCAGAUUAGGUAGUUGGUAGGGUAAAGGCCUACCAAGCCGACGAUCUGUAGCUGGUCUGAAAGGAUGGUCAGCCACACUGGGACUGAGACACGGCCCAGACUCCUACGGGAGGCAGCAGUCGGGAAUUUUGGACAAUGGACGCAAGUCUGAGCCAGCCAUUCCGCGUGCAGGAUGAAGGCCCUCGGGUUGUAAACUGCUUUUGUACAGAACGAAAAGGCUCUGGUUAAUACCUAGGGCUCGUGACGGUACUGUAAGAAUAAGCACCGGCUAACUACGUGCCAGCCGCCGCAGUAA
rnacentral:rRNA from 1 species